rnacentral:misc_RNA from 1 species
GCCGCCACACAUUCCCCGCUCGCUGGGUCGCCUGCGCAGGCCUCCUCUGCGCUUUUGAUGCUCUCUUCCACCUUCUCCGAUAUGCUAUCUGGGGCUGCUCUCACUGGUUGGAUUUGCAUGCGUCCAGACCCCAAUCGGUAUGCCCUCUUCCAUGGGUGGUUUAACUUGAAGAUGGGUUGAGCCUUUGGUGCGUCUGUGGCCUUGGCUAAGACUCUAGGAGUUGAGAGGUUAAGACUGGUUAGUGUUGCCAUUGUAGUUUGCUAUUUUGCUUCUGUGCUAUCUGCUAUGGUAUGGCCAAGUAAUGGGUGCUCGAGGGAAUAUGACAAUGGAAAGCUAUACCAUUG